UACGGAGGGAGCUAGCGUUGUUCGGAAUUACUGGGCGUAAAGCGCGCGCAGGCGGCCUUUUAAGUCUGAUGUGAAAGCCCACGGCUCAACCGUGGAAGGUCAUUGGAAACUGAAAGGCUUGAGUACAGAAGAGGAAAGCGGAAUUCCACGUGUAGCGGUGAAAUGCGUAGAGAUGUGGAGGAACACCAGUGGCGAAGGCGGCUUUCUGGUCUGUAACUGACGCUGAGGCGCGAAAGCGUGGGGAGCAAACAGG
rnacentral:rRNA from 1 species